AUUGAACGCUGGCGGCGGGCCUAACACAUGCAAGUCGAGCGAGCAGCGGACGGUGGCGUACUGUCUGGUAACCUGCUUGUAGGCUGGGCAUAACUACUGGAUACCGUAGCUAAUCCCGCAUACCAUCAGCUUUGCCCAGAUGGGAUUAGCUAGUCGGUGGGGUAACGGCUCACCUAGGCGACGAUCCCUAGCUGAUCUGAGAGGAUGACCAGCCACACUGGAACUGAGACACGGACCAGACUCCUACGGGAGGCAGCAGUGGGGAAUAUUGGACAAGGGGCGAAAGCCUGACACAGCAAUGCCGCGUGAGUGAAGAAGGUUUUCGGGGUGUAAAGCACUUUUAGCGGGGAAGCGUUAUCCGCAGAAAAAGCACCGGCUAACUCCGUGCCAGCAGCCGCGGUAAUAC
rnacentral:rRNA from 1 species